rnacentral:rRNA from 1 species
GCUUACGGCCAUACCACCCUGAACACGCCCGAUCUCGUCCGGAAGCUAAGCAGGGUCGGGCCUGGUUAGUACUUGGAUGGGAGACCGCCUGGGAAUACCAGGUGCUGUAAGCU